UACGGAGGGGGCUAGCGUUGUUCGGAAUUACUGGGCGUAAAGCGCGUGUAGGCGGGACGGUUAGUCGGACGUGAAAGGCUGGGGCUCAACCCCAGAUCGCCGUUCGAAACUGCCGUUCUUGAGGGUCGAAGAGGAGAGUGGAAUUCCUGGUGUAGCGGUGAAAUGCGUAGAGAUCAGGAGGAACACCCAUGGCGAAGGCAGCUCUCUGGUCGACAUCUGACGCUGAGACGCGAAAGCGUGGGGAGCGAACGGG
rnacentral:rRNA from 1 species